rnacentral:rRNA from 1 species
AGACGUAGGGCGCAAGCGUUGUCCGGAUUUAUUGGGCGUAAAGAGCUCGUAGGCGGCCUGUCGCGUCAAUCGUGAAAUCCUGCGGCUUAACUGUGGGGUUGCGGUUGAUACGGGCGGGCUGGAGUGCGGUAGGGGAGACUGGAAUUCCUGGUGUAGCGGUGAAAUGCGCAGAUAUCAGGAGGAACACCGGUGGCGAAGGCGGGUCUCUGGGCCGUUACUGACGCUGAGGAGCGAAAGCGUGGGGAGCGAACAGGAUUAGAUACCCUGGUAGUCCAUGCUGUAAACGUUGGGCGCUAGGUGUGGGGACCCUUCCCGGGUUUCUGUGCCGUAGCUAACGCAUUAAGCGCCCCGCCUGGGGAGUACGGCCGCAAGGCUAAA